AGAUUGAACGCUGGCGGCAUGCCUUACACAUGCAAGUCGAACGGCAGCACGGGAGCAAUCCUGGUGGCGAGUGGCGAACGGGUGAGUAAUACAUCGGAACGUGCCCAAUCGUGGGGGAUAACGCAGCGAAAGCUGUGCUAAUACCGCAUAAGAUCUACGGAUGAAAGCAGGGGAUCGCAAGACCUUGCGCGAAUGGAGCGGCCGAUGGCAGAUUAGGUAGUUGGUGAGGUAAAGGCUCACCAAGCCUUCGAUCUGUAGCUGGUCUGAGAGGACGACCAGCCACACUGGGACUGAGACACGGCCCAGACUCCUACGGGAGGCAGCAGUGGGGAAUUUGGACAAUGGGCGAAAGCCUGAUCCAGCCAUGCCGCGUGCAGGAUGAAGGCCG
rnacentral:rRNA from 1 species